CCUACGGGCGGCAGCAGUGAGGAAUAUUGGUCAAUGGACGAGAGUCUGAACCAGCCAAGUAGCGUGAAGGAUGACUGCCCUAUGGGUUGUAAACUUCUUUUAUAAAGGAAUAAAACGAGGCACGUGUGCCUUUUUGCAUGUACUUUAUGAAUAAGGAUCGGCUAACUCCGUGCCAGCAGCCGCGGUAAUACGGAGGAUCCGAGCGUUAUCCGGAUGUAUUGGGUUUAAAGGGAGCGUAGAUGGGUUGUUACGUCAGUUGUGAAAGUUUGCGGCUCAACCGUAAAAUUGCAAUUGAUACUGGCAGUCUUGAGUACAGUUGAGGUAGGCGGAAUUCGUGGUGUAGCGGUGAAAUGCUUAGAUAUCACGAAGAACCCCGAUUGCGAAGGCAGCUUACUAAACUGUGACUGACAUUGAUGCUCGAAAGUGUGGGUAUCAAACAGGAUUAGAUACCCGUGUAGGC
rnacentral:rRNA from 1 species